rnacentral:rRNA from 1 species
GAUGAACGCUAGCGGCAGGCUUAACACAUGCAAGUCGAGGGGUAUAGGUUUUCGGACCUAGAGACCGGCGCACGGGUGCGUAACGCGUAUGCAAUCUACCUUUCACAGAGGGAUAGCCCAGAGAAAUUUGGAUUAAUACCUCAUAGUAUAGCAGUUUCGCAUGAAACCACUAUUAAAGUAUCAACGGUGAAAGAUGAGCAUGCGUCCCAUUAGCUAGAUGGUAAGGUAACGGCUUACCAUGGCUACGAUGGGCAGGGGUCCUGAGAGGGGGAUCCCCCACACUGGUACUGAGACACGGACCAGACUCCUACGGGAGGCAGCAGUGAGGAAUAUUGGUCAAUGGACGCAAGUCUGAACCAGCCAUGCCGCGUGCAGGAUGACGGUCCUAUGGAUUGUAAACUGCUUUUGUACGAGAAGAAACAACAUUACGUGUAAUGUCUUGACGGUAUCGUAAGAAUAAGGAUCGGCUAACUCCGUGCCAGCCGCCGCCGUAAAAC